rnacentral:tRNA from 1 species
AGGACUAUAGUUAAGUAUAACAUUUGGUUUGCAUCCAAAAAGUAUUGAUUAAAUCAAUUUGUCUUA